rnacentral:rRNA from 1 species
CCUACGGGAGGCAGCAGUGAGGAAUAUUGGUCAAUGGACGCGAGCCUGAACCAGCCAAGUAGCGUGAAGGAUGACUGCCCUACGGGUUGUAAACUUCUUUUAUAAAGGAAUAAAGUGAUGCACGUGUGCCUUUUUGUAUGUACUUUAUGAAUAAGGAUCGGCUAACUCCGUGCCAGCAGCCGCGGUAAUACGGAGGAUCCGAGCGUUAUCCGGAUUUAUUGGGUUUAAAGGGAGCGUAGAUGGGUUGUUAAGUCAGUUGUGAAAGUUUGCGGCUCAACCGUAAAAUUGCAAUUGAUACUGGCAGCCUUGAGUACAGUAGAGGUAGGCGGAAUUCGUGGUGUAGCGGUGAAAUGCUUAGAUAUCACGAAGAACUCCGAUUGCGAAGGCAGCUUACUAAACUGCCACUGACACUGAGGCUCGAAAGUGUGGGUAUCAAACAGGAUUAGAUACCCGAGUAGUC